rnacentral:rRNA from 1 species
GACGAACGCUGGCGGCGUGCUUAACACAUGCAAGUCGAGGGCACUAUUGGGGCAACCUGGUAGUGACCGGCGAACGGGUGCGUAACACGUGAGCGACCUUGCCUCGUGGUGGGGGAUAGCCGGCCCAACGGCCGGGUAAUACCGCAUAUGGUAGUUUCUUCGCAUGGGGAGACUAGCAAAGCCUUGGAGCAAUCCAAUGGCGCCACAGGGGGGGCGUCGCGGCCUA